UACGGAGGGUGCGAGCGUUGUCCGGAAUCACUGGGCGUAAAGGGCGCGUAGGCGGCGCGGAUAGUCGGCGGUGAAAGCCCGGAGCUCAACUCCGGGUCGGCCGUCGAUACUUCCGGGCUUGAGCACUGUAGAGGCAGAUGGAAUUCCGGGUGUAGCGGUGGAAUGCGUAGAGAUCCGGAAGAACACCAGUGGCGAAGGCGGCCGGCUGGGGGCGCCCUGACGCUGAGGCGCGACAGCGUGGGGAGCAAACAGG
rnacentral:rRNA from 1 species